AAAUAAAUAAAGUUAUUGAUUAAAGAAGAAACCCCAAAUAAAAAACUUUUCUUUUAAUAUUCAAUUAUUUAGUUUUCUCACAAGCACAGCUAAAAUCUUUUCCGGUGGGGAGAGUUGUAAUUUUCGAAUUCCGUUUAUUUUAGAGCCCACUCAAUAUCACUAUGAAUAGGAUUGCACAUUGUUUAAAAUGAGAAAAUUAUUCAAUCAGAAUGUUCCAAUCAGGCUACAGGGUGUCCCCCGAAACAUGACAUUGGUGGAUACCCUUUAAAUUAAGGUUAAAAUAAAGCAAGAGGGAUAAAAACUAAAUAAGGAUGUAUUUUAUUUAUAUUUUGAUUUAUUAAGUUAAUUUGAUUUAAAUUUGUUCUCCAUACAGUUAGUUCAAAAAACGUUGAAUUAUGUAUUUUAAAUAUAUUUAUGUGAUUAAUCAACAUAUUAAUACAAAUUUCUUGAUUUCAAAAUAACUGAUAAAAGUUAUUAGAUGAAUAAAAUAAUUAGAUAAUA